GGACCGUAACUGACGCUGAGACACGAAAGCGUGGGUAGCAAACAGGAUUAGAUACCCUGGUAGUCCACGCCCUAAACGAUGCAUAUUUGGUGUGGGCAGUUCAUUCUGUCCGUGCCGGAGCUAACGCGUUAAAUAUGCCGCCUGGGGAGUACAGUCGCAAGGCUGAAACUCAAAGGAAUUGACGGGGGCCCGCACAAGCGGUGGAGCAUGUGGUUUAAUUCGACGCAACGCGAAGAACCUUACCUGGGCUCGAACGGCUUCUCAACGCCGGUAGAAAUAUCGGUAUCCCGCAAGGGAGUGGAGUCGAGGUGCUGCAUGGCUGUCGUCAGCUCGUGUCGUGAGAUGUUGGGUUAAGUCCCGCAACGAGCGCAACCCUUGUCCUGUGUUGCCAUGCCGCAAGGCGGCACUCGCAGGAGACCGCCAGCGAUAAGCUGGAGGAAGGUGGGGAUGACGUCAAGUCCUCAUGGCCUUUAUGUCCAGGGCUACACACGUGCUACAAUGGCCGGUACAAAGCGUCGCUAACCUGCGAAGGGGAGCCAAUCGCAAAAAACCGGUCUCAGUUCGGAUUGCAGGCUGCAACUCGCCUGCAUGAAGCUGGAAUCGCUAGUAAUGGCAGAUCAGCACGCUGCCGUGAAUACGUUCCCGGGCCUUGUACACACCGCCCGUCACAUCACGAAAGUGAAUUGUACUAGAAGUCUGCAGGCUGACCCGCAAGGGGGGCAGCGGCCCAAGAUAUGAUUCAUGAUUGGGGUGAAGUCGUAACAAGGUACCAAUCCCGCGG
rnacentral:rRNA from 1 species